UCUCCGUAGGUGAACCUGCGGAGGGAUCAUUACAGAGUUCAUGCCCUACCGGGUAGAUCUCCCACCCUAUGUUAUUAUUACUUUGUUGCUUUGGCGGGCCGUUAGGCUCCGGCCCGACUACCGGCCCCGGCUGGUAAGCGCCCGCCAGAGGACCCAAAACCCUGAAUAUUAGUGUCGUCUGAGUACUAUAUAAUAGUUAAACCUUUCAACAACGGAUCUCUUGGUUCUG
rnacentral:misc_RNA from 1 species